GUGUCAGCAGCCGCGGUAAGACGGGGGGUCCAAGCGUUGUUCGGAAUCAUUGGGCGUAAAGCGUGUGCAGGUGGUUUUGAAAGUUAGAUGUGAAAGCCUCGGGCUCAACCCGAGAAGUGCAUUUAAAACUACAAAACUUGAGUAAGGAAGAGGGUCGUGGAAUUCCAGGUGUAGUGGUGAAAUACGUAGAUAUCUGGAGGAACACCGGUGGCGAAGGCGGCGACCUGGUCCUAUACUGACACUCAUACACGAAAGCGUGGGGAUCAAACAGGAUUAGAUACCCUGGUAGUCC
rnacentral:rRNA from 1 species